CACCUACGGGAGGCUGCAGUCGAGAAUCUUCCGCAAUGGGCGAAAGCCUGACGGAGCGACGCCGCGUGGACGAUGAAGGCCCUCGGGUUGUAAAGUCCUUUAGCGCAGGAUGAAUCGCAAGACGUUAAUAUCGUCUUGCCUGACGUUACUGUGUCAAAAAGCUCCGGCUAACUUCGUGCCAGCAGCCGCGGUAAGACGAAGGGAGCGAGCGUUGUUCGGAAUCACUGGGCAUAAAGGGCACGUAGGCGGCCUGGUAAGUUAGAUGUGAAAGCCCCUGGCUCACCCAGGGAAUUGCAUUUAAAACUGCCGGGCUUGAGGCCGGGAGGGGAGAGUGGAACUCCUAGUGUAGCGGUGAAAUGCGUAGAUAUUAGGAGGAACGCCGGUGGCGAAAGCGACUCUCUGGCCCGGUUCUGACGCAGAGGUGCGAAAGCUAGGGGAGCAAACAGGAUUAGAUACCCUGGUAGUCCUAGCCCUAAACGAUGAGCACUAAGUAGGGGAGGUUCCGAUGCUUUCUCUGCUGUAGCAAAUGUAUUAAGUGCUCCGCCUGGGGAGUACGGUCGCAAGGCUAAAACUCAAAGGAAUUGACGGGGGCUCACACAAGCGGUGGAG
rnacentral:rRNA from 1 species